rnacentral:rRNA from 1 species
UACAGGAGGCCCGAGCGUUAGGCGGGAUCACUGGGCGUACAGGGAGCGUAGGCGGUUGGGUAAGCCCUCCGUGAAAUCUCCGGGCCCAACCCGGAAAGUGCAGAGGGGACUGCUCGGCUAGAGGACGGGAGAGGAGCGCGGAAUUCCCGGUGUAGCGGUGAAAUGCGUAGAGAUCGGGAGGAAGGCCGGUGGCGAAGGCGGCGCUCUGGAACGUUUCUGACGCUGAGGCUCGAAAGCGUGGGGAGCAAACAGG